rnacentral:lncRNA from 1 species
GUUAGAAUAUGUUAUAAUACAAUAAAUAUGAUUAAUUAAAAGUAUUCGAGAUGCAUGAAAAGUGUUUAGAAGUGUGGAGAAAUACUUGUUGAAAUUGGGUCCAAAAUAUGCUAAGAACUCGGAAACAUUGCGUUGAAGCACUAAAUGACUUAUCUAGUGUUGUUUAGGGUUAGAUGCAUGAGUAGUGUUUAAAAGUGUGGAGAAAGACUUGUUGAAAUUGGGUCCAAAAUAUGCUAAGAACUCGGAAACAUUUAGUUGAACCACUAAAUGACUUAUCUAGUGUUGUUUGGGGUUAGAAUAUGUUAUAAUACAAUAAAUAUCAUUAAUUAAAAUUACUACAGAUGCAUGAAAAGUGUUUAGAAGUGUGGAGAAAUACUUGUUGAAAUUG